AUGAACUCAGUGACAGAGAGCGGAUUGAACUCAGUGACAGAGAGCGGAUUGAACUCAGUGACAGAAAGCCGAUUGAACUCAGUAAGGGAGAGAGGAUUCUUCAGUUUGGUGGAUGAACCUUUGGUGACAGGAUCGAUCGACUCCCUGCUCGCUAAGCUCAACUUCACCACCAAACUGAAGAAGAGGCGUGCCAAAGUAAUGAAAGAACUAUAUCAAGAUGUGCUGAAACUAAAGAAAGGUUUCGACAACCUUGGCGGGGGCCGGGUGAUGGAUCCAUGUGCCCUAUUGUGGACGCAGUUUGCUAGAGAUCUGGUCUUUGACAUUGAAGAGUGGGUUGAUGCGAGGCCGGGUUCCGCAAAUUCAUCAAAGAGAGAGUUAAUUGAUCUGUUCAAGCACCGGAUCCAUAAUGUGUGUGAGCAGUUCACGUGGUGCGACCUUCUCGGUCCUACCGAAGAUCAGUUCAAGCUUAUCCAUGAUUUGCAUAAAGAUUUGGAGAGCCUUAAGAAAGAUCUCCCCUAUAAGUUUGGCCCACCGGUGACUCCUGAGCAGUCAGUGUGGAUGGAUCAAACAUGUGAGCUGGUCAGCAAGGUGGAAACUUUGGUCCAUCAAAAGCCAAUAAAGGACAUGGAUGAAUCAUGGGAAAAACUAAUACAGGAGUACAAGGCCAAAAUACAACAAACGCGUGAUACACUCAGUACAACCCCCAUUUGCUGUCCACUGCUUUCUGAGGAGAAAACCCACAACCUCAUUGCUCUCAAAGCACCAAGUAGUAAGCUUCUCAUGCAUCUGACUUCCUCACAGGCGAGGCUAAAGCUGGUGUCUGUCGUCGGAAUGGAAGGCCUUGGUAAGACUACUCUUGCCAAGGAGGUAUAUGCAAAGCUUCAAAACAAGUUCGAGUGCCGAGCUUUCGUUACUGUUAGCAAAAACGCGUAUCUAACGGCCGCUCUACUGGAUAUACUUCAUCAAGUAAAGCCACAGGGUACUAUUCCUCGCAAUGGCCCGGGAGCUCCUGAAAUUAACCAAGUCGUAACCGAGCUCAGGGAAUACCUCGUCACAAAGAGCUAUUUCAUCUUAAUUGAUGACAUUUGGAGCAUCCGGGUAUGGGAUAUUCUUAAUUGUGCUUUGCCUGAGAAUGAUCUUGGAAGUAGAGUAUUGAUCACAACUUGCAUCAGUGAUGUUGCCAAAUGUUGUUCUAUGCGCCCCGUUGAUGCCAUCCACCAGAUGGAGCCUCUUAGCGAGGAAGACUCAAAGACAUUAUUUCAUGAGGAGGCAAAAAGGCCCGCUGCAAAUGAGUUGUUGAAAAUGUGCGGUGGCAUGCCAUUGGCAAUAAUUGUUGCAGCCGGCAGGAAAUCUGCAGGACUAGCUGACUCAGAGAUCGAAUAUUAUGCCAUCAAGAAAGAGCGUUUGAUACGGCUGUGGAUCGCUGAGGGAUUUAUCUUAGGAAGAUGUGAAGAAAGCUUGUGGAGGACAGGAGAAAGCUAUUUCAACGAGCUCAUCGGUAGGGGGCUGAUUCAGCCAGUGUUUGGCUACGAAGAUGGCCAGGCUGUGGCGUGUACGGUGCAUGGUGUGAUCCUUGAGUUCAUCAAAUCUUUGUCUAGGAAAUACAAGUUUGCUACAACGGGUGCAGACUUGAGGUCUGGAGUAUGUCCUUGGUACCCAAUUCGCCAUUUCUCAGUCGAUUACUGCAGUAAGCAAGAUGAAGUGAACACAUUGGACUUAAGAACCCUGCACCUUUCUAGCAUGCGGACCCUCCAAGUCUUUGGGCCUGUUGGAUGGACAACUCUCCGCACAGGUUCUAAGGUUAUGAAAGGGAAGGCUGUUCCGGGGGAUACUGAGGGGAUCCCUCUUCUGUCAAGCUUCAAAAAUUUACGGGUACUCGAUCUGGAAGAUAAUGACAAUUUGAGAAGCCACCAUCUGAAAGACAUUGGAGGGUUGGUUCUGCUAAGGUACCUGGGGCUUAGAGGGUCUGCUAUCCAUGCAUUACCAGACGAAAUAGGAAAGCUGGAACACUUGGAGACGCUAGAUGUCAGGCACACUAACCUGAGAAAUCUGCCUGCAUCUAUAGUUGGAUUGGAAAGGUUGGUAUGCCUACUGAUUGAAGAUGCCGUGGAGAUGCUGAGCAAUAUCCUUGUAAUGCAAGGACUACAAGAAGUAUCAACGAUCAGGGUCGACAACAUCGAGUCACUCCAUGAGGUGGUGGAGCUGCUGGCUCGGUCGGAGAGGCUGAGCAUCCUUGGCUUGAGCUUUGACGAACUAAGCCCAUCUCUGGACAGUGCACGUGCAUUCACCGAUUUAUUGAGGGCGGUUGGACAGUCUAAACUUCGGUCCCUAUCUCUGCAUUGUCUUCAUGGUGACUGGAUUGGCCUACUGGACUCGAGACCAUACCAGCUGCGAAGAUUUGAGGUGUCUGUACCUGUUCCAGUCUUGGAAAGUACUGUAUCUAUUAUUCCCUGCUGUAUCACCCACUUGAAUAUUGAAGUGGCUCAUUUGGGAGAGGAAGGUCUCAUUGUGAUCGCGUCCAUGCCCCAGCUUGUCCUUCUCAAGUUAGCAUCUUCAGGACCUGCUGCUGCCAUGAUGGACACGGACACAUCCUUACGAAAACAGAGAAGAAGAGCGAGAAUUCGGAGGGGAGCCUUUCUGUGUCUUAAGGUGUUGUGGUUCACAUGCAAGGCUGGUGGGAAUGAGGUGCAGUUUGAUCCAGGAGCCAUGCCACAGCUGCAGGGGCUGCGGCUCCACUUCAACACUCUAGAGACGCUGUCCCUUUAUGGAGAUUUUGAGUUCGGCAUUGAGCAUCUCUCUAGUCUCAACAGAAUCCAUGCGACCUUCACAUGUGAGGAUACUGCCGCUCCAGAGGUGGUGCAUGCAGAGGCUGCCAUCAAACAGCAAGUAUCUCAGAUCUCCUCCGCCAACACACCAACAAUAGAGUUCAGCAGAGAGAAACCCAGGAUGCUCGAGGAGAAAAAGAAGACGGUGGCCAUGAUCACCCAGAAAAGUAGCUUCAGUAGAUGGUUGAGGGGAAAAAAGAGAGGAUAG
rnacentral:rRNA from 1 species